UGGGGGGGAGGGGGGGGGGCUAACCUAGCUGUCAGUGACCAAGAGCAUGAGCAGCGUGUCGUAGUGAAGCAGUGGGUCCAGCGUGUCGUAGUGAAACAGUGGGUCCAGCGUGUCGUAGUGAAGCAGUGGGUCCAGCGUGUCGUAGUGAAGCAGUGGGUCCAGCGUGUCGUAGUGACGCAGUGGGUCCAGCGUGUCGUAGUGAAGCAGUGGGUCCAGAGCAGUGAGGUCUUGCUGAUCACAGACUGAGGCGCAUUUUUCACAACAUGGUAAUAACAUCCACUGUAGGUGUGGUUUCAUGCACAGUGCCGGGGGGUGCCGGGGAGUACAGGAAAAUUAGGAUUUGCUUUCAGAAACGGUGUGCUUUAUUACGAAACAGCCCGGAACGCUCCCCCCGCCCCGUCAUCGUGGCUUAUUAGCGUGGAACAGAUAAAUGUCAGAGCCGUUUAAAAUGUCCUCUAUGCGUGAUUCGAGACGCUCAGCGGGACGCCGAGGGCCACCGCAGUGAAAGGGGGGUCCCCCCCACGCACGCCAACCCGCCUGGAGUGGAAUGGGAAGCACACGGCCGCUUCCACGGGCCCCCGGGAGAUUAUCUGCCCGCUAAAUCCCUUCACGGUGACUCCCCUGUCUGCUGUUUGUCCUGCUAGACUGAUGCCCAGAGGAUGUUAGUUCAGCUUAAAAGCAGUAGCUGUGUGUCUGCAGUGGUAGAGAUAAGAGGUCUUCCUUGAAGGAGGCCUGCCAGUAAUCUAAGCCGAGUGUGUGCCUGCGUGUGUUCGUGUGCCCCCUGGAAAUUUCUCCCCCUCACUCUUGAAUGCAGCACAGGCACCGUCUCCCCUGAGUGCAACGACCCCCC